rnacentral:rRNA from 1 species
CUGGCGGCAGGCCUAACACAUGCAAGUCGAACGGUAACAGGAAGCAGCUUGCUGCUUUGCUGACGAGUGGCGGACGGGUGAGUAAUGUCUGGGAAACUGCCUGAUGGAGGGGGAUAACUACUGGAAACGGUAGCUAAUACCGCAUAACGUCGCAAGACCAAAGAGGGGGACCUUCGGGCCUCUUGCCAUCGGAUGUGCCCAGAUGGGAUUAGCUAGUAGGUGGGGUAACGGCUCACCUAGGCGACGAUCCCUAGCUGGUCUGAGAGGAUGACCAGCCACACUGGAACUGAGACACGGUCCAGACUCCUACGGGAGGCAGCAGUGGGGAAUAUUGCACAAUGGGCGCAAGCCUGAUGCAGCCAUGCCGCGUGUAUGAAGAAGGCCUUCGGGUUGUAAAGUACUUUCAGCGGGGAGGAAGGGAGUAAAGUUAAUACCUUUGCUCAUUGACGUUACCCGCAGAAGAAGCACCGGCUAACUCCGUGCCAGCAGCCGCGGUAAUACGGAGGGUGCAAGCGUUAAUCGGAAUUACUGGGCGUAAAGCGCACGCAGGCGGUUUGUUAAGUCAGAUGUGAAAUCCCCGGGCUCAACCUGGGAACUGCAUCUGAUA